AUUGAACGCUGGCGGCAGGCCUAACACAUGCAAGUCGAACGAGUGGCGGACGGGUGAGUAAUGUCUGGGAAACUGCCCGAUGGAGGGGGAUAACUACUGGAAACGGUAGCUAAUACCGCAUACCAUCGGAUGUGCCCAGAUGGGAUUGGCUAGUAGGUGGGGUAAAGGCUAACCUAGGCCACGAUCCCUAGCUGGUCUGAGAGGAUGACCAGCCAACCUGGAACUGAGACACGGCCCAGACUCCUACGGGAGGCAGCAGUGGGGAAUAUUGCACAAUGGGCGCAAGCCUGAUGCAGCCAUGCCGAUGGUAUGAAGAAGGCCUUCGGGUUGUAAAGUACUUUCAGCGAGGAGGCGUUACUCGCAGAAGAAGCACCGGCUAACUCCGUGCCAGCAGCCGCGGUAAUAC
rnacentral:rRNA from 1 species